CCUGAUACCCAUAGCAAGGUGGUACCACUCCUUCCCAUCCCGAACAGGACAGUGAAACGCCUUCGCGCCGAUGAUAGUGG
rnacentral:rRNA from 1 species